GGGUUGUGAGGUUAAGCGACUAAGCGUACACGGUGGAUGCCCUGGCAGUCAGAGGCGAUGAAGGGCGUGCUAAUCUGCGAUAAGCGCCGGUAAGGUGAUAUGAACCGUUAUAACCGGCGAUACCCGAAUGGGGAAACCCAGUGUGAUUCGUCACACUAUCAUUAACUGAAUCCAUAGGUUAAUGAGGCGAACCGGGGGAACUGAAACAUCUAAGUACCCCGAGGAAAAGAAAUCAACCGAGAUUCCCCCAGUAGCGGCGAGCGAACGGGGAGGAGCCCAGAGCCUGAAUCAGCAUGUGUGUUAGUGGAAGCGUCUGGAAAGGCGCGCGAUACAGGGUGACAGCCCCGUACACAAAAGCGCAUAUGCUGUGAGCUCGAUGAGUAGGGCGGGACACGUGGUAUCCUGUCUGAAUAUGGGGGGACCAUCCUCCAAGGCUAAAUACUCCUGACUGACCGAUAGUGAACCAGUACCGUGAGGGAAAGGCGAAAAGAACCCCGGCGAGGGGAGUGAAAAAGAACCUGAAACCGUGUACGUACAAGCAGUGGGAGCCCCACCACUAAGCCAGUGGUGAACUCCACAUACGCAUCCUUUGCUGAGGAGACGGUUAACGGAGCGAAAGCGACGUUCAACCUCAAAAGAAGCAGAGGGGGCUUAGUGGUGGGGUGACUGCGUACCUUUUGUAUAAUGGGUCAGCGACUUAUAUUCUGUAGCAAGGUUAACUGUAUAGGGGAGCCGGAGGGAAACCGAGUCUUAACCGGGCGUUAAGUUGCAGGGUAUAGACCCGAAACCCGGUGAUCUAGCCAUGGGCAGGUUGAAGGUUGGGUAACACUAACUGGAGGACCGAACCGACUAAUGUUGAAAAAUUAGCGGAUGACCUGUGGCUGGGGGUGAAAGGCCAAUCAAACCGGGAGAUAGCUGGUUCUCCCCGAAAGCUAUUUAGGUAGCGCCUCGUGAAUUCAUCUCCGGGGGUAGAGCACUGUUUCGGCUAGGGGGCCAUCCCGGCUUACCAACCCGAUGCAAACUGCGAAUACCGGAGAAUGUUAUCACGGGAGACACACGGCGGGUGCUAAUGUCCGUCGUGAAGAGGGAAACAACCCAGACCGCCAGCUAAGGUCCCAAAGUCAUGGUUAAGUGGGAAACGAUGUGGGAAGGCCCAGACAGCCAGGAUGUUGGCUUAGAAGCAGCCAUCAUUUAAAGAAAGCGUAAUAGCUCACUGGUCGAGUCGGCCUGCGCGGAAGAUGUAACGGGGCUAAACCAUGCACCGAAGCUGCGGCAGCGACACCGUGUGUUGUUGGGUAGGGGAGCGUUCUGUAAGCCUGUGAAGGUGUGCUGUGAGGCAUGCUGGAGGUAUCAGAAGUGCGAAUGCUGACAUAAGUAACGAUAAAGCGGGUGAAAAGCCCGCUCGCCGGAAGACCAAGGGUUCCUGUCCAACGUUAAUCGGGGCAGGGUGAGUCGACCCCUAAGGCGAGGCCGAAAGGCGUAGUCGAUGGGAAACGGGUUAAUAUUCCCGUACUUGGUGUUACUGCGAAGGGGGGACGGAGAAGGCUAUGUUGGCCGGGCGACGGUUGUCCCGGUUUAAGCGUGUAGGUAUGUGUUCCAGGUAAAUCCGGUUCACUUUAACACUGAGGCGU
rnacentral:rRNA from 1 species